GGAGAGAUGUCAGAGUGGCCGAAUGAGCCCGCUUGGAAAGCGUGUGUACCGCAAGGUACCGAGGGUUCGAAUCCCUCUCUCUCCACCA
rnacentral:tRNA from 1 species